CUUAGAGUUUGAUCCUGGCUCAGGAUGAACGCUGGCGGUAUGCUUAACACAUGCAAGUCGAACGGUGUCUUCGGACAUAGUGGCGGACGGGUGAGUAACGCGUGAGAAUCUAGCUUCAGGUCUGGGACAACCACUGGAAACGGUGGCUAAUACCGGAUGUGCCGGAAGGUGAAAGGCUUGCUGCCUGAAGAUGAGCUCGCGUCCGAUUAGCUAGUAGGUGGGGUAAGAGCCUACCUAGGCGACGAUCGGUAGCUGGUCUGAGAGGAUGACCAGCCACACUGGGACUGAGACGCGGCCCAGACUCCUACGGGAGGCAGCAGUGGGGAAUUUUCAGCAAUGGGCGAAAGCCUGACGGAGCAAUACCGCGUGAGGGAGGAAGGCUCUUGGGUUGUAAACCUCUUUUCUCAGGGAAGAACACAAUGACGGUACCUGAGGAAUCAGCAUCGGCUAACUCCGUGCCAGCAGCCGCGGUAAUACGGAGGAUGCAAGCGUUAUCCGGAAUGAUUGGGCGUAAAGCGUCCGCAGGUGGCUGUGUAAGUCUGCUGUCAAAGAGCAAAGCUCAACUUUGUAAAGGCAGUGGAAACUACACGGCUAGAGUGCGUUCGGGGCAGAGGGAAUUCCUGGUGUAGCGGUGAAAUGCGUAGAGAUCAGGAAGAACACCGGUGGCGAAGGCGCUCUGCUAGGCCGCAACUGACACUGAGGGACGAAAGCUAGGGGAGCGAAUGGGAUUAGAUACCCCAGUAGUCCUAGCUGUAAACG
rnacentral:rRNA from 1 species